AUCGUUCAUCUAUCUAACUAAAAUUUAGAUAGACGGAAGUAGAGAAAAUCUCUCGAAGGAACGCGCU
rnacentral:ncRNA from 1 species